UGUAGCUCAGUGGUAGAGUACUCGUCUAGGAAGUGUGAGGCCCUGAGUUCAAUUCCCAACA
rnacentral:tRNA from 1 species